rnacentral:rRNA from 1 species
AUUGAACGCUGGCGGUAGGCCUAACACAUGCAAGUCGAGCGGUGCGGCGGACGGGUGAGUAAUGCCUAGGAAUCUGCCUGGUAUUGGUGGAUAACGUCCGGAACCGGGCGCUAAUACCGCAUACUAUCAUAUCACCCUAGGUCGGAUUAGCUAGUUGGUGGGGUAAAGGCCUACAAAGGCGACGCUCCGUAACUGGUCUGAGAGGAUGAUCAGUCACACUGGAACUGAGACACGGGCGAGACACCUACGGGAGGCAGCAGUGGGGAAUAUUGGACAAUGGGCGAAAGCCUGAUUCAGCCAUGCCGCGUGUGUGAAGAAGGUCUUCGGAUUGUAAAGCACUUUAAGUUGGGAGGCGUUACCAACAGAAUAAGCACCGGCUAACUCCGUGCCAGCCGCCGCGGUAAUUC